UGAGAAGACACAAGCCUGCUCCCGGUCACAUGAUGGAGAUGACUGUUCCUGUCUGUUUGACUUAAAAGAUCCACUGGCAACAGGCCAGUCCUUUGGCCAGUCUGAAAGCAUUCGUUAUCAGCCAAAAGACUUCAGGAAAAUGGGUCAUUUCAAGCAUCCCCGAGGGUAUUUCCAGCAGUCUGACAGGCACUCUCCUGAGGACUUCAGGCACUCUCCUGAAGACUUUGGACACCCCAGGGAGGAACAUAGCAGGCGCUCUAGGGAGGAAGACUGGAGACGGCCCCUUGAGGAUUGGAAAUGGCCACUGGAAGAUGAUUUUAGGCAGUCUCGUGAAAAAGAUUGUAGGCAGCUACCAGAGAAGGAUUUCAGAUGCCCUUGGGAAGAAGACUUCCGACGGCCAUCUCAGGAGCACUUCAGGCGUUCAUAUCAGGAGCACAUUAGACAGCCACCCCAUGAACAUUUCAGAUAUUCCCGAGAGGAAGAUUCCAGGCAUGUGGCAGAUGAAGAUUUUAGGUACCCUGCUGAUGAGGACUUCAGGACCUCCCAAGAAGAUUUGAGAUGUCCCACUGAUGAGGACUUUAGGCAGGUGUGUCUGGAAGACCACAGGGAAGUUCCUGAGGGGGAUCUUAGACGUUCUGAUAAGUUUAGACUUCCUGGAGAGGAUUUUUGGACCUCAUCUGAUUUCAGAGGUCACCAUCCUUUUGUGAACUUUGGUCACCUAGAAGGUGGCAAAUUUGAUUUUGGAAAGUAUAACAUAGGGAGUUUUUCAGAGGCAAAAGUUACAUCUGAUUUAAAUUUAAGUUGUAGGUCAGGUGGAAUAAUUCCUGUAAAAAUCUCAAAUCUUCCAUUCAAAGCUAAUUCUAAUGAAAUUCUAGACUUUUUUCAUGGUUAUAAAGUCAUACCUGGUUCUGUUUCAUUACAGUACAAUGAGCAAGGAUUACCUAUAGGAGAAGCUAUUGUUGCUAUGACAAAUUAUAAUGAAGCUCUAGCUGCUGUUAAAGAUCUAAGUGGUAGACCAGUUGGUCCCCGCAAGGUUAAGCUCAGUUUGCUUUAGAGGGUCUUUUUAAGUAAACAGUUUUCUUCUACUGUAUUGGUUCAGUGAAUGUAUACUUUUGUAAUUUAAUUAUCUAAAAAAUGUUUUUAAAGUGUGAUUAGAAAAAAAAAGGUGUUAUGCAAAUCCGGGUUCCUUUUUAUUUCAAGUGGACAUGCAUUUACCCCCUAAUUUAAAAUUACAUAUACUGUUUUUCGCAGGUAGAAUAGAACAAAUUUUCUGUUCUCAUUAAUGCUAUGAAUAAAUUAAUCUUUGACUUUGUUUUUACUAUCUUUUACUCAGACUAUAUAAGGAAAUAAAGGCUGAGUGAUUAAUCGGGUUUGGUACUUUUUCUAAUUGCCUGUAAAACUGCUUGUCAAGAUAUCAUGCUAAUGUCUCUUAUAAACUCUAAAUAGUUCAGAAAAUGAACUUACUGUGAAAGAAAUUUACUUAAGUUCUUCAAUAUUUGUGUUCACAAGUUUCAAAAGUUUAAUAAAGAUAAAAUUGCAAUUG
rnacentral:lncRNA from 1 species